ensembl:lncRNA
CCUUAAGGAAGUCUAAGCUGGCAUUUCCAUUGUCCUCAGCUAUCUGUUGGACAGCUCUGUCCAGCAUGACACCGGGCCAAGCUGGCCCACCAAGGGGGCUCAGUGGCUUGGGGGAGAGGGCAUAGAGGCACGAUUCCGGCCCAGAAAGAAUCCACGGGGGCCAGCCCCAGGAAGGCCGAGCUAAGACACAGGUGUCUGACACCACCAAGGCACCUCUGCUCGGAACCUGCAAUCAAACGGCUGCCCUGAUUAGCCAAGUACAAAAGCCAGUUCAGAUUACUGCCCUCCUCCCAGCCAAUCGUCGGCCGGCCUGCCUGACAGCAGCAGGCCCCUGAUGUAAGGGGAAGUACACGCGGCCAGAACCGGAGAACCGGUUUCCACAGUGGCCGCUGGCACACCGGGUCCGCAUGCACGCCUGCCCCACUGUCUGGGGAAGCCGUUUGUCAGGCUGUUGUAAGGAGAGCUUGUGGUAAUGGGCUACUGCCACCAAGCCAGAGUUCAGGAGCAGCCAGGCCGUGACAUUCAUUUUGAAUGUUUCAAAUUUAACAGCCUCCUGCCGCUGAUGAGGAGAGGCUCUCAUCUCCACAGUGCAGAAUGACAGAUGAUGAGGAAACAGAGGCUGGAAGAGGUUAGGGAAUGUGUCCAACACUUCACAGCUAGUGGGCAGCAGAGCUGGGAUUCACACCCUGGCAACCUGACCGGAGAGCGCCCGCCUUGAACCACCACCCUCUACAAAGGAAAAUUUCCAUUCUGACCUAGGCAUUCGCUAGGUUUGUGACCCUGGGCAAAUUACUAAACUUCUCCAAGCCUUUCUCUCCUCUGCAUUGGGACUGAUAAGAGAAGCUACCUGACAUGAGGACCGAACAGGAUGACGUAAGUAAAGCACUUAGCACUGGGCCUGGCCCACGGGAAGCACUCACAUGUCACCCCAUAGCAGUGGUUUGGGUAGGAUGAGCAUCGCUCUCCAGCCUUCACCAGGACCUGAAGUGAGACAGGAUACAGUGUGUCCCCAUCACCCCUUGAUGGUGUGGCAGCCACUCAUGGGCAGGACUGUGAAGUCUCGGGUCCUCAAGUCCGGAAGUGACGCCCAUGAUGGUCAGUGCACAUUACCUUGGCACCAGGAAGUUCUUCACACUGGAACGUGCACCGGCUCCCCCUCAUCUAGAAGAGAGAUCGUCCACGCCAUGCUGUCCACCUACCCCAUCCCACCCCCAUAAACCCUGCCCCUGGCCCCAUCUGCUAUUUCCUGCUUGCUCUUCUUCAGAUUUAAAUCGAGAAUCCGGAACGAGUUCACAAACAUCUUAGACUUCUCCUUUAUUACCUGCCUAACUUCUUUGGCAAUCAGCUGUGGAGGGUUAUGCAAUCCAUGUUUGAAGAAGCAUUGAUGAUCUAAUCUGGAGGCAGUGCUGUGGAACCCACAGUGCACUGGACCAGGACGUGAGGGCUUGCCUUUCCCUUCUGGUUCUGCCACUGACUUGCUAAGUGACAUGGAACAAGUCACUUAUCAUCUCCAGGCUCUAGUCCUCACUCUAAUCCAGUACAUCACUACGUUUCUUCCUGGUACUAAUAUCCGUGGUGAAGAGAAAAAAAAGCAGAUGAGUUUUUGAAGAAUUAUAGCGGUUUUAUUUUUCCUUUUCUCUAAAAGCUAGUAGUUCAUCUACUCAGGCAUUUCCUGUUUUCUUCUGAUUACCUCUCAAAAAACAAAGCCACAGGCAGGAGAGUUUUAGGUUACUGUGUUGAUAAACUUCAGACCAAGAUGGAUAGCCUUGCUUUCAGAACGCCAGAUUUCCAUUGGUAUUUUUCCUUAAUGAUUUACACAUGUCCUUGUAGGGCACUCGUGUGGGUUAGAGAUGGGAGGCUAUGGAGAGAAGGCCUCACAGCGUGCUUUCCUCACUCCUCUUCAGUUUCUUUGUGUCUGUGUCUGUGCAUAACAGUCACGCUGCUCUCGCAGCUGUGCGGCAGAUUCAUCUACUAUGUAAGAUAGACGUGGGUGCCUGUAGGGCACUUCCUUGCCAGGCCUUAGUUUUAUAGCUACUCCAGAAGCUCAAAGGACUUUCACAGAGUAUGUUUUUAAACAUUAAAAGUUUGUCCGCAAUCCUUUCAGGAAAAACUGAAAGAAUUUUAUGAACGGAGGAGAUGGAAACAGCCUCUCGGCCCCCGUCCUGCUUUCUCUCCAUAAUGUGUACCACCUUCUAACAUACUGUGUAACCUACACGUGUAUUGUGUUUAUCAUUCAUUCCUUCUGCUCACAAGAAUGUCAAACUCCACGAGGACAGAGAAGUUUGUUUUGAUCAUGGCUGAGUGCCAA